rnacentral:rRNA from 1 species
CGUAGGGUGCGAGCGUUAAUCGGAAUUACUGGGCGUAAAGCGUGCGCAGGCGGUUUGUAAGUCAGAUGUGAAAUCCCCGAGCUCAACUUGGGAACUGCGUUUGAAACUACAAGACUAGAAUAUGUCAGAGGGGGGUAGAAUUCCACGUGUAGCAGUGAAAUGCGUAGAGAUGUGGAGGAAUACCAAUGGCGAAGGCAGCCCCCUGGGAUAAUAUUGACGCUCAUGCACGAAAGCGUGGGGAGCAAACAGGAUUAGAUACCCUGGUAGUCCACGCCCUAAACGAUGUCUACUAGUUGUUGGUGGAGUAAAAUCCAUGAGUAACGCAGCUAACGCGUGAAGUAGACCGCCUGGGGAGUACGGUCGCAAGAUUA